rnacentral:rRNA from 1 species
CAGAGCCACGGGAAUACGUAGGGUGCAAGCGUUAAUCGGAAUUACUGGGCGUAAAGCGUGCGCAGGCGGUUAUAUAAGACAGAUGUGAAAUCCCCGGGCUCAACCUGGGAACUGCAUUUGUGACUGUAUAGCUAGAGUACGGCAGAGGGGGAUGGAAUUCCGCGUGUAGCAGUGAAAUGCGUAGAUAUGCGGAGGAACACCGAUGGCGAAGGCAAUCCCCUGGGCCUGUACUGACGCUCAUGCACGAAAGCGUGGGGAGCAAACAGGAUUAGAUACCCCGGUAGUCCCUGUCUCUUAUACA